rnacentral:rRNA from 1 species
UGAACGCUGGCGGCAGGCCUAACACAUGCAAGUCGAACGGUAACAGGAAGAAGCUUGCUUCUUUGCUGACGAGUGGCGGACGGGUGAGUAAUGUCUGGGAAACUGCCUGAUGGAGGGGGAUAACUACUGGAAACGGUAGCUAAUACCGCAUAACGUCGCAAGACCAAAGAGGGGGACCUUCGGGCCUCUUGCCAUCGGAUGUGCCCAGAUGGGAUUAGCUAGUAGGUGGGGUAACGGCUCACCUAGGCGACGAUCCCUAGCUGGUCUGAGAGGAUGACCAGCCACACUGGAACUGAGACACGGUCCAGACUCCUACGGGAGGCAGCAGUGGGGAAUAUUGCACAAUGGGCGCAAGCCUGAUGCAGCCAUGCCGCGUGUAUGAAGAAGGCCUUCGGGUUGUAAAGUACUUUCAGCGGGGAGGAAGGGAGUAAAGUUAAUACCUUUGCUCAUUGACGUUACCCGCAGAAGAAGCACCGGCUAACUCCGU